UACGUAGGGUGCGAGCGUUAAUCGGAAUUACUGGGCGUAAAGCGUGCGCAGGCGGUUCGUUGUGUCGGCGGUGAAAGCCCCGGGCUCAACCUGGGAAUGGUCGUUGAAACUGGCGAACUGGAGUGUGGCAGAGGGGGGUGGAAUUCCGCGUGUAGCAGUGAAAUGCGUAGAGAUGCGGAGGAACACCGAUGGCGAAGGCAGCCCCCUGGGCUAACACUGACGCUCAGGCACGAAAGCGUGGGGAGCAAACAGG
rnacentral:rRNA from 1 species